CCUGGCUGGUAUCCGUGGCAAGUGGGCACCUCGUCUUUCGGCUUUGGAGCACCCCUCCCACUGUCUCUGUAUGAGGAGCUUCUUCCUUGUCUUCUACCCUCCUGCUUGCCUAUUAAACGCUCCACUCCAUAAAACCGCUCUACAUGUGUCCGUGUCGUUUUAGCUAAACCAGCAUGAGGACCAAGAACCCCGGUGUUCCUCCACUCAUCGGAGCUGUAUCAAACUCAGUUCUUAAAGUCUGCGAAUUAAGCAAGAAAAGAACCAAAUGCUUGGCUUCAGUGAUAAAUGUACCAGAAGGAGAGGCAGGCUGGGCUCCAGCUCUGAGAGCCCAGGGCAAACCAGCAGGAACCCAGGAAGAGAAUCCUGGCUGACCAGGAACUUCUCCCUCAGUCAUCCCAGGCCCCCAGCAUGGCCAUUCCUUAGGAAGGGAGGAUCUGCUACAGAAUCCUUGUCCCUUUCCCUGGAAAUAACCUCUUGUGGAACAUGAGUGGAGAAGACAAUUAGACAAGAAAUAUUUAUCACUGGGACCAAAUUUUAACUAGAGUCAUAGAAUGAAGAGGUCAGGGCUCCAGAAACAAAGUGAAGCAGAGAAUUAAAAUAAUUAUCUGGAUCAUUCAGGGGAAAUAAAAUCAUCAUUUUUGCUUGAGUGAGUGUCUGAAUGAUCUAAAUAAUUGUGCCCACCCUUUGUUUUGGUCUGGUGGUGAAGACCUGGCCAAUCGAUCCAAUAGCAAAGGAUGGAAGUUGCAAGUUUGUGGAGAGAAAGGACAGGAAGGCUCGGUAAGCGUGAAUCCCGCUGGUCCUGCAGGCCUGAGUGGUGGGCAGAGGCUGGCCCAGUCCAGAGCUUGGGCUGGGGAGGGAAGGAUGGUAUUCCUGGAAGCUACAGACCAGAAAGUAAGCAAAGCUGAAAGUCACAUGGGAAACUAAGGUUCAACAAACCCAGAAUACAGCCAGAAGGAGCCAGGUUUGGUGAAUGAAUCCAGGAAGCUAAAAGAUUAAGCAAAACAGAAUCACGAGGGGUGUGUGUGCAUGUGUGUGUGUGUGUGUGUGUGUAUGUGUGUGUAGUUAGGAAAGGUUAAACAAUUCACUAUACCAGAGGUUUGCAGCUUCUUGGACUCCACGGGCCAAUCAAGAGAAGUGGAAUUUUUCUGGGGCAAUGGCAGUAUGCUAGUGUGCAAAUGGAACGUAUGGUGUUAUUCGGUGGGCCCUGCAAGUCUCCCCUUUUCAAGAACAGCUACUUUAUUUCUAGAUAUAGAAUAAUAAUAAUAAUAAUAAUAGUAAAAAGACAGCUACUUCAUGUAAACGCAUGAAUGAUCCAUUGCUUGAGAUUUAUUCAUGGCCUACUUGUGUG
rnacentral:lncRNA from 1 species